rnacentral:rRNA from 1 species
AGUAGUGGCGAGCGAACGGGGAACAGCCCAAACCGUUGACGUCGCAAGGCGCCAGCGGGGUUGUAGGACCGCGACAUUGUAUGCAAAUCGUGAACAGAACACUUUGGAAAAUGUGACCAUAGACGGUGAUAGUCCAGUAUGUGAAGCGAAAUGCAGCAUAGCGGUAUCCUGAGUAACGCGGGACACGAGGAAUCCUGCGCGAAUCUGCCGGGACCAUCCGGUAAGGCUAAAUACUCCCGUGAGACCGAUAGCGAACGAGUACUGUGAAGGAAAGGUGAAAAGAACCCCGAGCAGGGGAGUGAAAUAGUUCCUGAAACCAUACGCCUACAAGCGGUCGGAGCAUCUUACGAUGUGACGGCGUGCCUUUUGCAUAAUGAUCCUACGAGUUACCGUCACUGGCGAGGUUGAGUGUCAUGAGACACGUAGCCGCAGUGAAAGCGAGCCUGAACAGGGCGCAUAGUCAGUGGGGGUAGACGCGAAACCAAGUGAUCUACACUUGGCCAGGAUGAAGUCCCGGUAACACGGGAUGGAGGUCCGCACCAAUAAGCGUUGAAAAGCUUCUGGAUGAGCCGAGUGUAGGAGUGAAAGGCCAAUCAAACUUGGAGAUAGCUCGUACUCCCCGAAAGGCAUUUAGGUGCCGCGUCGGAUGGUCACCGUGAGAGGUAGAGCGACCGAUAGGACAAGAGGGCUUCACCGCCUAUCGAGUCCUGACGAACUCCGAAUGCUCACGGUCUGCAGUCCGGCAGUAAGGGGGCGGGUGCUAAGGUCCGUCCCCGAGAGGAGAAGAAUCCAGACCGCCGUCUAAGGUCCCGGAGUUCUGCCUGAGUUAGUCUAACGAAGUCUGGUCCCUAUGACAGCUAGGAUGUUGGCUUGGAAGCAGCCAUUCAUUCAAAGAGUGCGUAACAGCUCACUAGUCGAGGGUCCGGGCAUGGAUAAUAAUCGGGUAUAAGGCAGACACCGAAGGCGCGGGAUAGCAUUUAAGAAAGUAUCGGUAGGGGAGCAUACUCACAGCGUGGAAUGGUGUACGUAAGUUAUCCUGGAGCGGUGAGUAAAGCAAAUGUAGGAAUAAGUAACGAUAAGGAGGGUUAGAUUCCCUCCCGCUGUAAGACCAAGGUUUCCCGGGCAAUGCCAAUCAGCCCGGGGUCAGUCGGGUCCUAAGUCUAAGCCGAACGGCGAUGGCGAUGGCAGAGACGGUUAAUAUUCCGUCACUGCCGCAUGGGGCGACGUGGAGACGGAGCAGUGAAACCACCGCGGGGCGACGGAAGUCCCCGUUGAAGAGUGUAGGUGUUGAGGAUGGCAGGCAAAUCCACCGUCCGAGCUGAACUUGAUAGUAUGGAGUCUUCUUCGGAAGAAUCCAAUAGUGUGGGUAAUCAUACUCCCGAGAAAAUCCGCUAAGCUUAACCCAUGCGGCACCCGUACCGCAAACGGACACACGUGGUCGGGUAGAACAUACUAAGGCGUUGAGAGAUUCAUGGUUAAGGAACUAGGCAAAUUGACCCUGUAACUUCGGGAUAAAGGGUCCUCGUGAUGAGCGAGGCGCAGAGAAUAGGUCCAGGCAACUGUUUAACAAAAACACAGGGCUGUGCAAACUCGAAAGAUGACGUAUACAGCCUGACACCUGCCCGGUGCCGGAAGGUUAAGAGGAGAUGUCACUCGCAAGAGGAAGCAUUGAAUUGAAGCCCCGGUAAACGGCGGCCGUAACUAUAACGGUCCUAAGGUAGCGAAAUUCCUUGUCGGGUAAGUUCCGACCUGCACGAAUGGUGUAAUGAUCCGGACGCUGUCUCAACCAUGAGCUCAGUGAAAUUGUAGUAUCGGUGAAGAUGCCGAUUACCCGCGAUGGGACGAAAAGACCCCGUGAACCUUUACUACAGCUUAGCAUUGACCUUGGUCAUCCGAUGUGUAGGAUAGGCCGGAGGCUUCGAAGCGGGAGCGCCAGCUUUCGUGGAGCCAUCCUUGAAAUACGGCCCUUUGGCUGUCUGAGGUCUAACGCGCUAGUGCGAGGACACUGCUUGGUGGGUAGUUUGACUGGGGUGGUCGCCUCCAAAAGCGUAACGG